rnacentral:rRNA from 1 species
UACGUAGGGUGCAAGCGUUGUCCGGAAUUAUUGGGCGUAAAGAGCUCGUAGGCGGUCUGUCGCGUCGGAUGUGAAAACCCAGGGCUCAACCCUGGGCCUGCAUUCGAUACGGGCAGACUAGAGUUCGGUAGGGGAGACUGGAAUUCCUGGUGUAGCGGUGAAAUGCGCAGAUAUCAGGAGGAACACCGGUGGCGAAGGCGGGUCUCUGGGCCGUAACUGACGCUGAGGAGCGAAAGCGUGGGGAGCAAACAGG